GACGAACGCUGGCGGCGUGCUUAACACAUGCAAGUCGAACGGAAAGGCCCUGCUUUUGUGGGGUGCUCGAGUGGCGAACGAGUGAGUAACACGUGAGUAACCUGCCCUUGACUUUGGGAUAACUUCAGGAAACUGGGGCUAAUACCGGAUAGGAGCUCCUGCUGCAUGGUGGGGGUUGGAAAGUUUCGGCGGUUGGGGAUGGACUCGCGGCUUAUCAGCUUGUUGGUGGGGUAGUGGCUUACCAAGGCUUUGACGGGUAGCCGGCCUGAGAGGGUGACCGGCCACAUUGGGACUGAGAUACGGCCCAGACUCCUACGGGAGGCAGCAGUGGGGAAUAUUGCACAAUGGGCGGAAGCCUGAUGCAGCAACGCCGCGUGCGGGAUGACGGCCUUCGGGUUGUAAACCGCUUUCGCCUGUGACGAAGCGUGAGUGACGGUAAUGGGUAAAGAAGCACCGGCUAACUACGUGCCAGCAGCCGCGGUGAUACGUAGGGUGCGAGCGUUGUCCGGAUUUAUUGGGCGUAAAGGGCUCGUAGGUGGUUGAUCGCGUCGGAAGUGUAAUCUUGGGGCUUAACCCUGAGCGUGCUUUCGAUACGGGUUGACUUGAGGAAGGUAGGGGAGAAUGGAAUUCCUGGUGGAGCGGUGGAAUGCGCAGAUAUCAGGAGGAACACCAGUGGCGAAGGCGGUUCUCUGGGCCUUUCCUGACGCUGAGGAGCGAAAGCGUGGGGAGCGAACAGGCUUAGAUACCCUGGUAGUCCACGCUGUAAACGGUGGGUACUAGGUGUGGGGUCCAUUCCACGGGUUCCGUGCCGUAGCUAACGCUUUAAGUACCCCGCCUGGGGAGUACGGCCGCAAGGCUAAAACUCAAAGGAAUUGACGGGGCCCCGCACAAGCGGCGGAGCAUGCGGAUUAAUUCGAUGCAACGCGUAGAACCUUACCUGGGUUUGACAUGGAUCGGGAGCGCUCAGAGAUGGGUGUGCCUCUUUUGGGGUCGGUUCACAGGUGGUGCAUGGCUGUCGUCAGCUCGUGUCGUGAGAUGUUGGGUUAAGUCCCGCAACGAGCGCAACCCUUGUUCACUGUUGCCAGCACGUUAUGGUGGGGACUCAGUGGAGACCGCCGGGGUCAACUCGGAGGAAGGUGGGGAUGACGUCAAGUCAUCAUGCCCCUUAUGUCCAGGGCUUCACGCAUGCUACAAUGGCUGGUACAGAGAGUGGCGAGCCUGUGAGGGUGAGCGAAUCUCGGAAAGCCGGUCUCAGUUCGGAUUGGGGUCUGCAACUCGACCUCAUGAAGUCGGAGUCGCUAGUAAUCGCAGAUCAGCAACGCUGCGGUGAAUACGUUCCCGGG
rnacentral:rRNA from 1 species